GAGCAUUGCUUUCUAAUAUGCCUGACUUAAACAAAUGGACUAUUUAGAGCAUUGCUUGACCUGACAUUUCCAAGCCAAGCUUGAAGCUAGUGCAAAGAAGGAUAACAGCUCCUUCUGCCUGCAUGUGUUCAUAUGAUGUUUUCAACUGUUAUUCCAAGAACAUGAAAGCUUGUUAGAAGAAAAUAAAGAGUUACGCAUCCUCCUCCGUUCUUACUUGUAUAAUUGCAGCUUGGUCUUAUUUGUUUAAGCUUAAGAAGAAAAUAAGAUUUCUCCAAAAUCAAAAGAAAACGAAAAGAUUUGCAUACUGCACUGUUUUUCUUCAAGCCUAGUCUUGAUCAUGAGUUAAGGUA